GACGAACGCUGGCGGCGUGCUUAACACAUGCAAGUCGAACGGAAAGGCCCUGCUUUUGUGGGGUGCUCGAGUGGCGAACGGGUGAGUAACACGUGAGUAACCUGCCCUUGACUUUGGGAUAACUUCAGGAAACUGGGGCUAAUACCGGAUAGGAGCUCCUGCUGCAUGGUGGGGGUUGGAAAGUUUCGGCGGUUGGGGAUGGACUCGCGGGUUAUCAGCUUGUUGGUGGGGUAGUGGCUUACCAAGGCGUUGACGGGUAGCCGGCGGGAGAGGGUGACCGGCGACAUGGGAACGGAGCCAGGGUCCAGAGGCCUAAGGGAGGGAGCAGUGGGGAAUAGUGGACAGUGGGCGGAAGCAUGACCCAGCCAUACGGCGUGGGUGAAGAAGGCGUCCGGGUUGGAAAGCCCUUUUGUUGGGAAAGAAAAGCAGCAGGUUAAAACCAAGCUGUUCUGACGGUACCCAAAGAAGAAGCACCGGCUAACUUCGUG
rnacentral:rRNA from 1 species